UGGGGAAUAUUGCACAAUGGGCGAAAGCCUGAUGCAGCUAUGCCGCGUGUAUGAAGAAGGCCUUAGGGUUGUAAAGUACUUUCAGCGGGGAGGAAAAAAAUAAAACUAAUAAUUUUAUUUCCUGACGUUACCCGAAGAAGAAGCACCGGCUAACUCCGUGCCAGCA
rnacentral:rRNA from 1 species